GUCGGGAAGCGCACAGAGAGAGUGGUGGUGACCUCCUGUAAUCCAACUACUUGGAGGCUAGGUGUAGAUGAUGUUUUAAGGGCAGGGAUUCUGGGAUUGGAUUUUCCACAUUGACUAGGGGAAAUCUUCAACUUAAAUGCCUUGGGGGAGCCCUAGUUAGCCAGGUUGAGCUUGAAAGGGGAAAAAAUUGGCCGAAAAAUCACCGAGUUGAGAGUCGUGAGUUCAAAUCCUGGACGUGGGAGUUCAAUUUCAGCUCGUCCAAACAAGAACAGACCUGUACCUAC
rnacentral:SRP_RNA from 1 species